AGUACUAAACUUGAAAACCCUUCUCACUUCUCUGAGCUCUCACUUCUUAACCCUAACUAUUCAUCUCUCCUAUAUCUUACGAAAUUCUGCAAAGUGAUUAAGAAAAUCAUGGAUUUUAAUGUCAGAUCUUCAAUUCGUUCCCUUUGCACUGCUCAUUAAUAAUUUUGCUUGCCUAAUUUUCUCUUCCCGCUGGCCUUCAAUGGUAUUUAAUUUCGUCCUCUCUUUGCCGAUAAAAUUGAGGUGAUGAUACCAAGGGGCUGCACCUUAGGUGUCGUUACAGAUUUGAAGAUUGGAAAAGGCAAUGUAGGUGCAACAAGAGAAUAGGCCAGAACACUUGAGCAUCAAAACAAGCGACUACAUCUUCUAUAACGCCAUCAUCUAUCUAUUUUGGUUUUGUCUUAAUUAUAUUAGUGAUGUAUUUAUUUAGGGAGAAGCUACUAUAAUAUGCGACCUUUUAUUUUUUAUAAUUAAUUGUGUUGAUGUUUUCGUUUAUAAAUUUGGUAAUUUAAUUAA